CCUCCCCUCCUCCCUCCCCUCCUCCCCUCACAUAGAGCUUCUUUGAACAAAGCAAGGAUUAUACUGCACACACCUGUCACUUGCUGUUUGGAUUCACAGUUUAUCCAGGGCCCACAUUGCUGAGACUUGAGCUCCUCACCCUUCCUGAUGAUGCGGUUCUACCGAGUGCCUGUUACGGGUCAGCGGUGGGCGUUCAGGGUGUUCAAAGUGAUGCAGUUUUACUCCUGACGCAUCCUUGCGUAAGUCUGUGAGAGAGGCAGUUUACAGUCCCGCACAGAUCCGAGGAAUACUCUACGUCAAACACCCAGGAGAUGCUUACGCUUGUGGUCAGCAAGUGGGAUCCAAGCUGCCGUUGAAGAGGCUUCCUCCAGACUCCAUGGUAGGGAGCCUCCGUGGACCUUAUUUAAUAGUGAUUGGUAUCUACCAUAGAUGAUGGUGGUCAGAUACUCGGGCUUGUCACCCGAGGAAGCAAUACAUCACCGUCACGUCUGAUCCACAAAGCCCUCUGGGAGCCCUGCCUCCUCAGGCUGGCCUGCGUGCAGACGGUGUCCUGUGCAAGGCUUUAGUGUAUCACACUGUAAAGCCUGCCCAUAAGGAGCAAGGUCACAUUCAUCUUUUGGUUCAGAGCCCGUUGCUAUGAUUGACCGUAUGUUUGUGAAAUGUGACGAAGUUAAGACUUGGAAAGAAGACAUGGCUUGUGUGAGCAAACCAUAGGGCGUGAACACUGCAGGGAAGAUUACAGCCCGCCUCGGAAAACGUCGGGACUGUCGAAUCCAGAGAGCAGGCUUCAUCGCAUUUUGCGGGUAACUAGGCUGGUGGUUGACCUCGGCGGAUAAGUUCCGUUCUCUGUAAUACGGAUCGCUCUGUUUCACAGUUUCCCGUCUUAUAUUUGGAUUGAUUCUCCGUGUAGGUCUGUUCUUCCGUACAGGGUUUCUGUUUAUCCCACGCACAGACCGUGCAGGGCUUGUGUGUUGUCACCAGAGGGCACUCUAGCGCCGCUGAAAACCGAACACUUCGCUUGUCCUCUGCCCAGGUGGUUGGUUCUGAAAUGUGUGUGUGGUUAAGAGACGUCCAUUCGGUAGCAUUCUGCUUGGGGCUAUUAUAUUAAACCAUAUUAAUAGAAAACUACCAAAAAACCCA